rnacentral:lncRNA from 1 species
UUCUUCGUCCCCUUUUCUGCCGAAUCGUCUACUUCUGUGAUCAAUUCUGGGCCUCCAGCACUGUGGAAGGCGGCCAGCCAAUCUGCCACACGAGCCUCCAAGUCAUCCACUGUCACCUACAAAUUCAUCAUGACACAAGGUUUAGUUUGGAUCCACAAUCGAGCAAAAGGACAAGAAAAUGACAAUCCAGAUGGUGCUAACGUGAACAAUUGACUUCCAUCAGUCACUGACUGGUCUGGCAAAUCAGAGCCCUCUUAGCAGCUGCUCGGUUGGAAGGUGCACGCAGCACAGCAAGUGCUCUUGCAUAGACAACGGCAGAAAGCCACUCUCGUGGAUGGAACAAUUUUCACUAGAAUAUCCAUUUCAAGGUACAUGCUGCAU